rnacentral:rRNA from 1 species
UACAGAGGUCCCAAGCGUUGUUCGGAUUCAUUGGGCGUAAAGGGUGUGUAGGUGGCGCCGUAAGUCGGGUGUGAAAUCUCGGGGCUUAACUCCGAAACUGCAUUCGAUACUGCGGUGCUUGAGGACUGGAGAGGAGACUGGAAUUCAUGGUGUAGCAGUGAAAUGCGUAGAGAUCAUGAGGAAGACCAGUGGCGAAGGCGGGUUGCUGGGCCGACACUGACGCUGAGGCGCGAAAGCCAGGGGAGCGAACGGG